AUUGAACGCUGGCGGCAUGCUUUACACAUGCAAGUCGAACGGUAGAGGGGGCAACCCCUUGAGAGUGGCGAACGGGUGAGUAAUGCAUCGGAACGUGCCCAGUCGUGGGGGAUAACGCAGCGAAAGCUGUGCUAAUACCGCAUACGAUCUCUGGAUGAAAGCGGGGGACCGAAAGGCCUCGCGCGAGUGGAGCGGCCGAUGUCAGAUUAGGUAGUUGGUGGGGUAAAGGCCUACCAAGCCAACGAUCUGUAGCUGGUCUGAGAGGACGACCAGCCACACUGGGACUGAGACACGGCCCAGACUCCUACGGGAGGCAGCAGUGGGGAAUUUUGGACAAUGGGCGCAAGCCUGAUCCAGCAAUGCCGCGUGCAGGAAGAAGGCCUUCGGGUUGUAAACUGCUUUUGUACGGAACGAAACGGUCUGGGUUAAUACCCUGGGCUAAUGACGGUACCGUAGGAAUAAGCACCGGCUAACUACGUGCCAGCAGCCGCGGUAA
rnacentral:rRNA from 1 species